UAUUAUAUAGCUUAAAUAAAAGCAUUAGCCUCUUAAGCUUUAAAAUACAAUUCUGUUAUAAUAA
rnacentral:tRNA from 2 species